AAAAUGCGUAGAAGAAGAGUACGAGAUUUAAGUAUUGUCCAGAAUACUCCAAAUUCGGAAGAAAGAAAUAGUGAACAGCAGACAGUUGUUGGAUCUUCGAAUGUGCCGGAGACACUUGAUGAGCCUGAAGAAUUUCAAACUGAAAGUGGUGGGACGCGCAGAGUUCGAGGACGUACGCUACUUAGAGAUUUAUACGACUUAGAUCCUGUUGAGCGUGUUAAAGUAAGUAGAAAUACUCAUGGUCAGCCUGUUGGAUCUGAAGCUCGACUUUUAGCAGGCUAUUUGGGCAUUUUAGCAUGAAAUGCAAAUAUGUUGCCCAUCAACUACGAAUCAUGGCAUCACAUGCCUGAUAGCAACAAAAAUCAGGCUCUCGCUAAUAUUAAGGAGAGAUUUGCUUUAGAAGUCUCCGAUGAUUAUAUCAAGAAGGCAUUAGGUAAAAGAUGGAGAGACAAUAAAAGCACUUUAAAGAAACAAUAUUUUAAGAAAGACAUAAGCCUCGAGGAAAAA